rnacentral:rRNA from 1 species
UGAGGAAUCUUGCGCAAUGGGCGAAAGCCUGACGCAGCGACGCCGCGUGGAGGAUGAAGGCCUUCGGGUCGUAAACUCCUGUCGAGCGGGACGAAUGCCGGCGGGGUCAAUAGCCUCGCCGGUUGACGGUACCGCUGGAGGAAGCCCCGGCUAACUCCGUGCCAGCAGCCGCGGUAAUACGGAGGGGGCCAGCGUUGUUCGGAAUUAUUGGGCGUAAAGGGCGCGUAGGCGGCUGCUCAAGUCGGACGUGAAAUCCCCCGGCUCAACCGGGGAACUGCGUCCGAUACUGUGCGGCUUGAGUCCCGGAGAGGGUAGUGGAAUUCCCAGUGUAGCGGUGAAAUGCGUAGAUACUGGGAGGAACAUCGGUGGCGAAGGCGGCUACCUGGACGGGUACUGACGCUGAGGCGCGAAAGCGUGGGGAGCAAACAGGAUUAGAUACCCUGGUAGUCCACGCUGUAAACGAUGUGCACUAGGCGUGGGACACGUCGGUGUUCUGUGCCGUAGCCAACGCGAUAAGUGCACCGCCUGGGGAGCAUGCUCGCAAGGGUG